AUAACUUUUGCACUGUCCACUUCCUGCUGUGACAAAACAAAUUUCCCACGUGUGGGACUAAUAAAGGUUAUCUUAUCACACUGACUAAAUUUCUUAAAACUAAAAGGAGGACUUAUUGAAGUGUGGGACAAAAAGACGUCUGGCUAGUUUGUACAUAAAUAAGCUAAAGCUCAGUUAAGCAGACUAGCAUUUCUAGUACCAAGGCAAAUAUCUGUUAGUUCAGACAUGUUCCGACAUCUCGGGACAGCCCUGACAAACGCUGGCACCUUUCUCCCAAGCUUCUGCAGUAUUUUAAUUUAAAAAAAUGAGCAGUUGUACUCGGACUGUCAGUGACCUGAUCUAACCACUGAAAUUGAUGUGACUAUAUUCUGUAACUAAUCUGACAUGUGUGACAUUUCAGUUAUGGGCUUUUGGUAACUGUUUAUCAGAUAGCUAGAAAUAACAGGAAGAUGGUCUUGUCCCAGCAAAGGUAACAAUGCCUUAUCUAUAUGUGGAACGGUUGAGCUUACAUGCUCCUCCUCAGAGGCCCAUUUUGAACAAGGAAGAACCCUGAACGGGUAAUUCCCCAUCCCACGUAAGCAGGAACAUCAGUAGUAGCAGUGCAUUUGUGUUCGACCUUCUAUGCUCUAUUUUGAUGAUGAUGAUGAUGAUAAUUUAAAAAGAAAAAGAAAAAGUAAAAAGAACAGGUUGGAUAAUUAAAACGAGUUUUAUCUCAAUCAAAGCUGUUCUGUUUUCUGUUACAGGUUAGUGUAAUGAAUGUCAGAGUAAGUCACCACAUUCAGGCAAAUUGAUUGUGCUUGAUUGCUGCAUUUAGUUGGCUGUUGGUCUCUUCACUUGAGACUAAUUGCUGACGCUCCGUCUGACGCUAACUGAGGAGAGUUUGUAGUUGCUCGUUUUGACUGUUCAUGCAAGCUUUACUUUAGCAUCGCCAUCUAUAACCGCUGGGGACUCUUGGUGUGAUUAUGUAGCUAAUGGGGCGGGCCUUGUCAUCAGAUGCUGGCCGUCUGUUAACACGCAGCCCACUCAGAGGCUGAUUGAACACGUCCGUCUUCAUCAGGGCAAAUGCAACAAUGAAAUUAGGCCAUUUUGAGCUGAAUUGGAGUUAAUGCCAGGAGGAAAAAAAAUAUUUCAAUAAUUUUCUCAUCAGAACCACAGUGUGCUGAUUAGGUCAGCCACUUGGUAUGGAAAUCAAAUGACACACAGUUCUCCUGUUUCUGCCUUGAAGUUGUAAAACAAUUUUUUGUUUGUUUGGGACCAAAAAACAAGGAGUUGUAUUGAUUUUUGAUAACAACAGUUAUUCUGUAAAUCCUGUUGUCUGUGGCCAGUCUUUUAAGUUGCAUCUUCAAGCUGUCAGGAGUUUUUAUUUAUUUUUUCCCAGGCUCAUUAUACUUUAUUGAAGCUAUCAAAGAAUAUUCUGCCUUUUUCUUUUUUUCUUUUUUUCUUUUCUCCUAGUGUUAGGGAAAAUAAAUGGAGUUGAGCGAGAGAGAGAGAGAGAGACUUUGUUCUACUUGACAGCUGUCAGAGAUAUUACUGAGGCAUUAGAGGCAUUCUGUGUCUCAUUGAAUCAGCUUAUAAGGCCACUGGUUUCCUAAAAGGAAAAAACGGCUCACGAUUUUUUUUCUUUCUUUAAGGGUAUUACUAGCAAACAGCUGUUUCAGUCGACUGAUUUCUCUCUUUUCUUUGAAGCAGCAUGUUCUCUGUGUGAACCUUGACUUUAUUUUAUCCCCAAUAAAGUGUUAAAGUGGCAUGCUGCUGAUUACCAGGUGAUGAAAUGAGUUUGGUCUGUCAUUUAAACGGGAAGAGACUCAUGGCAAUUUGUAACAUGUCUUUAGUAAGACUUGAUCAAUAUUUUUAUUAAAGCAACAUUGUGAUGGUUUGACAUUGAAUGUACCACGUUAGUGAUUUUCUAGUAAUGAUAAAAUGUUAGCUGGUAUUUAUUUUUAAUGAUUGAUAAUAGCAGGCAGUGAGAUUGGUUUCCAUCAGCAAUGGUGGGGGGGGAAAAAACUCUACAUCAUGUGACAUUUGGUGUUGCUGUGACCCUCCUGAGGGUUUCGGAAUGAGUAAUGUCCACAACCACGAGUAUAACCAGGCAAAUUGGCUGGCCUUCUAUUAUGGGCACCGGAAAAGGUGUCGCUGGCAUACUUGCGCGGUCAGAGCUCACCAACAGGACAGACACAUGGUCUAGAUAAAUCACCUGUUUUUAUGGGUGGCGCAGCAGUGGGCAUGCAACUGCCGUGGCUCUGGAUGGCUCGUCAGCUGCUGCAGGGUGUCUUGGAGCGCGACGAGCUGCCACAACGCAGGGCUGUUUGUGGAAGCUCAGCAAAAGACUUCAUCACUGCCGUCUGGAAAUACUCUGGCAGGUGGUGCUGGGAGCAGAGCUGGGCGGUACUGACAGAAUCAAUUGCAGUAUUUAUUUUAACCGGUACACUUGGAGUAAAGUAUCGAGAUUUUGUGUAGGUCUAAUAGUUUAAUACAAUGUUUAAGUGUCUGACAUAACUAGCUUAUUAUAGUUACAGCCAAAAACCGAAACCAUGUCUGAAAAGGCAUCAAAAUAGAAACUUGACUCUGAGAAGAAAAAUAAAACUUUGUACUUGGUAAAUUAAAUAAAAUGAAUAUAUACAGUGAAGGACUUUGAAUUUAGUCUUGUCCCAGUUUGAUUAAAUUUUUCCACACAACAUACCUGAGGUGGUCCGCCUGCUGAGGCUUGGGAUCACUACAUGACAAAGUCAACAACACCCACAACAUUGUCUUAUAUUGCAUGUUUUGAACUUGAUAAAUUUUAGUGAAAUUCAGCUCGGCCUCUGCUUGUCUCAACAAACACACAGAUAACAGCAAAGAUGAUGGCGUCAUAGGUGCAAUUUACACUUGAGCUGCAACCUUGAGACGGCAAACAAAAAUUGUUUCCCGUUUUCACAAUCUAAAGCUGUGCAACACAAUCAGAAGUGGAAAAAAUGUUUUUCUUCUAUCAACAACCAACUUGUUUUAAAACUGUGUGGCAACAGUGCAUGUUAAACAAGUUGUUUAAUUUGCCAAGAUCUUCAAAACUGUCAAAAGCUUUGCAGCAGGCUGACAGCUGCACCACCCAAAUUGCAGUAGCUUUGAAAAAACUUGAGUUUUGGCGAUUCACACAAAUCAAAAUGUACAAUGAGCCUGAGAAACUUUUGAUCUUGGGGUGGUCAGUGUUCAGGUUGACACUUUGUAAUCUAAAGCAGGCUGGAUGAUGUGAUCAAUAAGUGGGAAAACACAGCUGCUUAUGUAGAUAUGCUGUAGAUAAUGGUGUUUGCUGUAGAUUUUGUCAUCAUAAGGUGAGCACGUGGCUCUUGCUCUUUGUACGUGGCAUUGCAUCAACUUUGCGUUUACCCUUCAUCCAUAUUUCUUGUGGACUUCAAAGGAGUAUAACAGGAAUAACCACUCAUCUGUGUCUGCACCUGUCUCUGUCCACAACAUGGUUAAAGAGCAGCUUAAGAUAGAUGAUCUUCUUCUGGGUGCUCUGACAAAUUCAGAGCUAUUUACCAUUUGUAAGUUGUAAAAUGGCACAUCCUUGUAAAAUCUACAUUUAAAAGCGUUUUUAUUUUUGACGCUGUAGCUGCCCAAUGAAUCAAAUUUUAACUCCAGUUACUGUUUUGUUUGGCUUUCAGUCAGUAUUAAAACAAGGUAAUUGGGAUUAAAAUGCCUAUUGUCACAUUCGGUUUAACAAGUAUGGUCUUGUUUGGUCUUCAAGUGCCCCACUUUUUGCUGCUCCCAGGGCCCAAAUUGUCUGAAUGACUAUUUAAAUGGAAAAAAUUAUGCUAUUUUUUUCUGAUAGCAUAAUUGUGUUAAAUAAUCAUGAUUUUAAUUUUUGCCAUAAUCAAGCAACCUUAAUUAGCAUGGUAUAAACAAUGUUGCUGUGCCUGUCAUACCGAUAGCAGUAAUUAAAGUUACAAAGUCUGUCUGAAUGUCUUGAUUUUUCUGGUGUUGCUCCCACUACAGUAAAGUUGAUGAAAUUUGAAUAUGUAUUUGUUUUUCAAAAAAAAACAUUUAGGAAAAAAAUGCCAACAGUGGUAUGUCUUUACUUAAUGCCCCAGCUCUUCUGACCUUAUUGGACCCACGGUGAAUGGAUAUCAGCUACAUGUUUAUUUGGGUUUUAUACCAACAGGUUUUUGUUUUGCAAAACAGCUCUGCAGCAUAUGACAUCACUUUAAACUGGUUUAUACGUGCAAAUGUAAAUACUUAGUUCGCAGCAGUCACCUUUGUAAUAUUCAUAGGUGACUAUACAGUUGUCAGCUCGGUUAUGCUGUAUGAUGCAACAUCUUGAAGCAGACAGUUUCAUAAUAGAUUUUGUUUACUUGAAUUUUACUUCCUUGAGUAUAUAUGUGUAUACUAAAAAUGCAGCAGAAUCAUGCCCGAAGAAUGUAAUCUCACAGUCGCAUAGCAGAAGAGCUAUGCACAGCUGCAGUGGCUUUGAGAGUUUAAUGAAUGUAAAGGAGACGGUGUCAUAUGCAGCCUUCAUGUUUUUGAAUUCUGACACAAAUCCAGUAUUUUCAAGUGAGGUUUUCUCUGUGCUGUGAGAUCUGAGCAAAGUGCCUAUGGCAAAAUGGCGUCGGAAUGCCACUGGCAGAAAUGGACAAAUGGUGUCACACACCAGUACUGUGGCCUUAGCAGACGUAGCCUUCGACGUGUUCCAGUGCGUCUGUAUGACUUGGUCCAUUGUGCCGCAGAGGAACGGUGAAUAGUGUUCUCCGGCAUGGGGGAACAAUAUGUGAUUGUUCCCCUGCUGUGGCAAAGAAGCUGUAGGUUACUCUCUGUACCAUCGCCAAAGCGCCUGAGGAGGAGAUGCACUGCAAAAUCUCGGCCUGCUAACCACCGAUUCUUGGAAGUUUAGAGCUUUGCGGUGCUGUUUUUGAGUAGCUGUUACAUGCUAGUGGGAGGGGCCACAAUCCCCUCUUUUGGAGAAGAGGUUUUUGUUUCACAGUAGUUCCUUUUGUUUGUUUUUUUUUGUUUUGUUUUUGUUUUUUUUCUCUGGGAAAAUUGUUUGUCAUCAUUCAAAUGUAUUGAAAGCCUUCAGAGGGAAGGGGCAAGGGCUAAUUUGGAGGUGUGGAGUUGGAUUUCGGGAGGAACACGAGCAGAAGUGUGAUUUGUUAGCAUGUCAUUUAAGUCCCUCAAGGAGUUUGGUGUUUCUGCUGAACGGCUGGGCUCAUUUUGCAAGAGAUGGAUGACUCGUGUUCAGAGCAACGGCGGCAGCAGCAGCAAGAUGAACGGGUCGCUGGAGCACUUGGACCAGCCAGACCCUGACUCCAUCAAGAUGUUUGUUGGACAGAUCCCCCGCUCCUGGUCAGAAACGGAACUUAAAGAGCUAUUUGAGCCCUUUGGAGCCGUGCACCAGAUAAACAUUCUUCGUGAUCGCACUCAGAAUCCUCCUCAGAGCAAAGGAUGCUGUUUUGUAACUUUUUAUACAAGAAAAGCUGCACUGGAGGCCCAGAAUGCACUGCACAACAUAAAGACCUUAAGUGGGAUGCAUCAUCCUAUCCAGAUGAAACCCGCUGACAGUGAGAAAACAAGUGCGGUAGAAGACAGAAAACUCUUUGUCGGCAUGGUUUCAAAGAAAUACGGUGAGAACGAGGUCAGAAUGAUGUUCUCGUCUUUCGGACAGAUCGAAGAGUGCCGAAUACUUCGGGGACCGGAUGGUCAGAGCAGAGGCUGUGCGUUUGUCACAUUUGCUACCAGGGCAAUGGCACAGAAUGCAAUCAAAACCAUGCAUCACUCUCAAACUAUGGAGGGCUGUUCCUCACCUCUGGUGGUGAAGUUUGCCGACACACAGAGAGAUAAGGAGCAGCGGCGCCUGCAGCAGCAGCUAGUACAGCAGAUUCAGCAGCUCAACAGCGCCUCCACCUGGGGAAACCUGGCUGGGCUGGGGACUCUUUCACCGCAGUACCUGGCUCUGCUCCAGCAGGCCACUUCUCUCAGUAACCAAGGCAGUCUCAAUGGUAUUCAAAGGCUAGGAGCGGGUGUGAAUCCACUUCAGCUGCAGAACCUGGCCACAUUAGCUGCCGCUGCAGCUGCAGCUCAGAGUUCUGCCAGCCCAACUUCCACCAGCGCUCUGUCUACCAGCAGCGGUGCCCUGGGAGCUCUUGCCAGUCCAGUUGGGUCAACAGCAGGGUCCAGUGCUGCCGCUGCCGUGAACCCCUUGGCAUCUCUGGGGACUCUGCAAGGUCUCACUGGGACCUCUGUGGGCCUCAACAACCUUAACGCUCUCACCAGCAGCGUCAGUGGUAUGGGGGCCAUGAACGGGGGUCUGGGAGCCUCCAUGGCCAACGGGUCAGCAGCCAGCUCUAUGGAUGCCCUAACCCAGGCCUACUCAGGGAUGCAGCAGUACACAGCGUCUGCCCUGCCCGCCCUCUACAGCCAGUCUCUCCUUCAGCAGAGUGUGGCUGGCAGUCAGAAGGAAGUAGGGCCAGAGGGCGCCAACCUGUUCAUCUAUCACCUGCCCCAGGAGUGUGGGGACCAGGAUCUUCUGCAGAUGUUCAUGCCUUUUGGAAAUGUGGUCUCUGCCAAAGUUUUCAUUGACAAACAGACCAAUCUGAGCAAGUGCUUUGGGUUCGUCAGCUAUGACAAUCCUGUGUCUGCACAAGCUGCCAUCCAGGCCAUGAAUGGUUUCCAGAUUGGCAUGAAGAGGCUGAAGGUUCAGCUGAAACGCUCCAAGAACGACAGCAAACCCUACUGAUCCUACCCCCGGGGCCUUCCCCCUCCCCAGCUCUAAAGCUAGCACUGCUAGGAACAAAUCUCCAUGCCUGUUUGCUCAUCAUUAGCCUAGCAUGUCUUCAUGAUGUUGAAAGCCAAGCCAAACUCCUGGCCCACAUCAUCCCACCAUUGUCUGUGAUGUCUCUCUAAGCUCGCCUGACCAAUACCUGGCCACCCACUGACCUUGACCUUAGCUCAACCUGAUUUUUCUGCAUGUAUAUUGAUUUUUGUUUUCGUUUGCUUUUUCUGUAUAGAAAUGUGACUGGUGGGAGAGAGGUCAAGCAAAUCAAUGUGAAAACUUUACCUAGGUUAAGUUCAUUUGAGUGACCUGUUUUUUGUUUUUGUUUUUUUGCGAAUGUUUUAAAAAGAAAAAACCUGUGGGAUUUCUUACUUUUAAUUUAGCUUUGUGGGACUUUUUUUUUUUUUAAUGUUUUUUCUUUUUACCUCUCUCAGUAAAGCUCACUUGAAAGUUGAAUACAGGGAUUGGCACACAGCUGUGCUAUUUGGUGCCAUUAGCAAUAUGUUGGCUUCUUAAAAAAAAUGCUACAGACCACUUUCCAACACUUUUGAAAGUCUGACCAUUAAAAUCCCUCUCAGUGCUCUGUAAUGAUCUCUACAUUUUGCAGGCAGCGUGAAGAUUUACACCAAGGCUAUUUAAAAAAGAAAAAGAAAAAUUCAUUUAUAAAAAUAUCCAGUGUUUUUCUUUUUCUUUGAUUUCCUUUUGGGUUUUUUGUUUUUGAACUAUUGAUGGCACAAUAAAAGGUACAUUGCUCUGUUGAGAGAAAUGACUACCUACAUGAGUCAACUUUUUUAGAACUGAUUCACAAAUAGACAAUCUGUGGUUUAAAUGCACACUUAGAUUAACUAUAUUUUAUACCAUUGAAUCUAUAGAAGUUUAACUAACAGAACCCAGGCAAACGUUGGGUUUUUUGUAGAUUACGUUGUAAUGUCAUCUGUGUUUGGGCAGGGAGGGGGGGCAGGGGCGGGAGGGGUCUUCAGUGUACUACAUUUUUAAAGAGGACUAAAAAUCUGUUUGAUCAGCAUGACCAUUUGAGGGUCAUUUCUAGUAAAUUAAAAAGUUCAAAAUUCCUCUGCUUUAAUUGUAAUUUUGUUUUCUGGUUUAAAUUUCUUUUCUUUUUUUUUUUUUUUUUUUUUCUUUAUAUCCCUGCUAAACUUGCAUGGUACGUACAUCUUGUCAACUUUCUGUGAAUUUCUCUUUGCUAAUUUAAUUAAUGAAUUUUUCACUUUGGUUUUGUUUGGAUGCCUCGUUGAGAGAUGAUUUACAAUGUCUGUUGAUCAUACAGAUGCCAGACAAUGUUAUUCUGUUGGAUUUUGUUGUUGAAGUGCCCAUGUGUCAAAUAUUUCUUGCGCUUUUUUUUUUUUUUUUUUUUAAACUCACCACUUUGUUUGCUGUAAUAUUACCUAGUUUGUCUGUACACACACACACACACGCUGCAACACAUGCAAACACACACAAACACUCUUUUGUGGUUGCAAAUGUGGGAGCCCCUGAAGAGGAGAUAACUCGGACACAACACGCAACCUGUGGGUCUCUGCACGUUUUGUUUUUCUUUCCUCUUUCUUUUAAAAACAUGCACUCGUGUGAUGCUCAAGAAGUCACACAGCACAUUAAAUCGACUUAAUCCACCACAGUAGUGUUGGUUUACAAAUAACAUUCCAUUUUUCUCAGCACGGAAGUUUACACUUUUUUAUCAGGGUGGCAUUUUUGUGUGACGACCCUGGUAAAACAACCACUUCACCCUCCCGUUCCCCCAAAGAAAGGGUUCCCUAAAACUGCGUACCUGAUGGCGCUAAAGAGUUGUCAGCUCAGGGCUCUUUGUUUCCUUUUUUUUUUUCUUUUUUGUGUGUGUGUGUGUGCUUGUGGGGGGGGAACUAGACACUGACGCAGGAUUACCACACAAAAUGCACUGUUAACCACCAUUUGACUUUCUUUUCAGUUGGGAUUUUUCCCCUUUUACUCUAAACUUAAAUAUUCCUAAACAAAAGGAAGGUACCAAAUUUGAACCGGUGCUGGGGGGGGGAAGUGUUAUAGUUUUGUAAGGAGAUGUUAAGCACAAUUGUGGGAGCUAAUCACUUUUGCAGAAUGUCGUGUGUAUGUGUGGUUACGAUCCCAAAUUUUUCCAAGGUACCACUGAUUUCUCUUUUAAUAUGGGCAUGUGCUUUUUACAGUAUUUGUUUUGUUUUCUAUCCAAAUGCAAUACAAUAUUCAAAGUGCCAUAUAUACGUCUAGAAACUGCCUACACAUUAUUAGGCCUUGGUUUAGAGAUUGCUGCAGUUCGCCUUUCUAUUUUGUUUUGGGUUUCUUUGUUUUUUUUUCUUUUGGGUCUAUUUAUGCCAGUGUCAUGAAAGCUCUUGUCACCUGCUAAUGUCUCCCCUUUGCCUUUACUGUGUUGAGUUAUUGGUAAAUGUGUAUUGUGAUGUACUCAAUUUGAACAGUUGGUUUAAAACGUUGUAGAUAAACAAUAAACUUCCCUAUACAUUUGAA